GAUUAUUAGAGUGUAAAAGUUUAGGAAGAAUGGUUGCUGAAUUUCUUAGUUAUGGAGAUAGAGGUAAAAGUGGUAUGAAUUUAGAUAUUUUUGUCUGAAUAACCAUUAAGUUACUGGCCACAAAACAUUAUGCAUAUAUUUUUGCACUUUGAUCUCCAUCCUAAGUGUUUACAUGAAGUGAUACUUAAUUAUUUGACUUUUACCUCAUCCUUAGAAGUGAAUUAGAACAUAUAGUGGUCCAUGUUUUAAUAGAAUGUUCCAGGAUAAUGCUUAUGUUUUAGGGUUCUUCUUUCAGAAGGUAAUUAAAACUGAAGGAAGGUAUUUUCAUAAAAACAAAACAUUGUAGAAAAGCUAAUAAUGUUUAUUAAUUCUGCUUAUUUACUUAGUAGAAUAUGUUUCUGUUGCAUUUGUUAAGAAAAUAAUUUCUUAGAGACCCAGAUAUGAAAUGACCAAAUUUUUAUGAUCAUACUAAGGCAGAGCACACAUUGGAGUAGAACCCAAACAUCAGAGCUCUCUAGCUGAGCAUUUGUCCUUACUUUAGACAGAUAAAUUUGAAGGAGAUGGCAGGGAACCUAGAAGCUGAGUUGAUCAACAGGAUGGUGGAU
rnacentral:lncRNA from 1 species